AAAAGCUAGGAGGAGGGAAGGAGGGAGAAAGAAACAGGGAGGGAGGGAGGGGGGGGAGAAGGUUUCUUUCUCCCCCCUCCCUCCCUCCGUUUCUUUCUCCCCCCUCCCUGAAGGAA